rnacentral:tmRNA from 1 species
GGGGGUGACAUGGCUUCGACGUGGGUCGCGAAACUCUGAGUGCAUGCCGAGGAACAGAUAACCUCGUUAAUCCAGCUGUAAAACCUAUAGUUGCCAACGACGACAACUACGCACUAGCUGCUUAAAAACCAGUUUGGUGUCCUCUGCCCGGUACGUGCCUGUGCGUCCGGAUCCCAGGGGUCGAAUACACAGGACCGCGGUGAGGGCGUGUUCAGGGUCUGAUCCGUUAAAUCCUAACUGAGCUGGCUAUGCGUUUUCCCUGCCCGUCGGGUAGCGCAUAGUGAGAUUAAUGACGGAAUAAGCAUGUAGAUCCUGGAGCAGAGGGCUUGCGGACGUGGGUUCGAUUCCCACCACCUCCACCA